rnacentral:piRNA from 1 species
UAAAAGAAAUCUGGGCCUCCUUUCUGGACA